UAAAGCAAGAAAGGGCGUAUGGGGAAUGCCUAGGCACACUCCGGCGAAGAAGGACGCAGCAAACAGCGAAAUGCGACGGUGAGCGGUAAGCACGUGAAGAGCCGUCGAUAUCCGAAUGGGGGAACCCACACGGAGUCAUAUCCGUGUAUCACAUGUCGAAUACAUAGACAUGAUGAGGCGAGACGCAGGGAACUGAAACAUCUAAGUACCUGCAGGAAGAGAAAAUAAGAAUGAUUUUCUGAGUAGCGGCGAGCGAAAGGGAAAGAGCCCAAACCGAUUUUAGGAUCGGGGUAGUAGGAUCAUCGAUAAAUCUGACAGAGGAUCAUAGAGGAAUCACAUGGGAAGGUGAGCGAGAGAGGGUGAGAGCCCCGUACUCGAAAUGAGAGACUGGAGAGAGAUGACACCUGAGUAGGGCGGGACACGAGAAAUCCUGUCUGAAUCAGCCGGGACCAUCCGGCAAGGCUAAAUACGAGAGAGUGACCGAUAGUGAACCAGUACCGUGAGGGAAAGGUGAAAAGAACCCCGGGAGGGGAGUGAAAGAGAACCUGAAACCAUAUGCCUACAAGAAGUCAGAGCCCGUUAAAGGGUGAUGGCGUGCCUUUUGUAGAAUGAACCGGCGAGUUACUGUAUGGAGCGAGGUUAAGCAGGAUAUGCGGAGCCGAAGCGAAAGCGAGUCUUAAGAGGGCGAGAGUUGCAUGCAGUAGACCCGAAACCGGGUGAUCUAGCCAUGACCAGGUUGAAGUUGGGGUAAAACCCGAUGGAGGACCGAACCGACCCCCGUUGAAACGUUGGCGGAUGAGUUGUGGCUAGGGGUGAAAUUCCAAUCGAACCCGGAGAUAGCUGGUUCUCCCCGAAAUAGCUUUAGGGCUAGCGUCGAGAGAAGAGUUGCGUGAAGGUAGAGCACUGAAUAUGUGAUGGCCCCAUCUCGGGGUACUGAGCAUAAUCAAACUGCGAAUGUCACGCCAACAUGCUCGGCAGUCAGACAGCGGGUGAUAAGGUCCGUUGUCAAGAGGGAAACAGCCCAGACCAUCAGCUAAGGUCCCAAAAUGUAUGCUAAGUGGAAAAGGAUGUGGAGAUGUACAGACAACUAGGAGGUUGGCUCAGAAGCAGCCAUCCUUUAAAGAGUGCGUAACAGCUCACUAGUCGAAUGACUCUGCGCCGAUAAUUUACCGGGGCUAAGCAUACUACCGAAGCUAUGGAUCCCAAGGGAUGGUAGGGGAGCGUUCCAUGAACGGAGAAGUACGACCGAAAGGACGUGUGGAGAUCAUGGAAGAGAGAAUGCCGGUGUGAGUAGCGGAACGUGGGUGAGAAUCCCACGCACCGAAAACCCAAGGUUUCCAGAGGAAGGUUCGUCCGCUCUGGGUAAGUCGGGACCUAAGGCGAGGCCGAAAGGCGUAGUCGAUGGACAACAGGUAGAGAUUCCUGUACCCGUAUAUAUGUGAAGGAAUGACGGAGAGAGGAAGCUGCAGCCAGCGGCUGGAAGAGCUGGUGCAAGCGAGAUAUCGGGAUGGCAGGCAAAUCCACCAUCCGAAACGAGAAGGCGUGAAGCGUACGGAAAGCUACGGCGAGUACGGAAGGCAGUGGAGGAACUUCCAAGAAAAGUUUCUAACGUUAAGUAUAUAUGGCCCGUACCGAAAAUGGACACACAUGGGUGAGGAGAGAAUCCUAAGGUGAGCGAGAGAACUAUAGCUAAGGAACUCUGCAAAAUGACUCCGUAACUUAGGGAGAAGGAGUGCUCAUAGAGAUAUGAGCCGCAGUGAAACGGCCCAAGCGACUGUUUACCAAAAACACAGCUCUCUGCUAAGCCGCAAGGCGAAGUAUAGGGGGUGACGCCUGCCCGGUGCUGGAAGGUUAAGGGGAGGGGUUAACGCAAGUGAAGCCCUGAACUGAAGCCCCAGUAAACGGCGGCCGUAACUAUAACGGUCCUAAGGUAGCGAAAUUCCUUGUCAGGUAAGUUCUGACCCGCACGAAAGGCGUAACGAUUUGGGCGCUGUCUCAGCUGUAGACUCGGUGAAGUCUUAGUACCUGUGAAGAUGCAGGUUACCCGCGACUAGACGGAAAGACCCCAUGGAGCUUCACUGCAGGUUGAUAUUGGGAUUUGAUGCAGCAUGUACAGGAUAGGUAGGAGGCAAAGAGAUGGAUACGCCAGUAUUCAAGGAGCCGCUGUUGGGAUACUACCCCUGUUGUAUUGGAUUUCUAACCGGACGACGUAGAGCCGUUGACGGGACAGUGUCAGUCGGGCAGUUUGACUGGGGCGGUCGCCUCCCAAAGAGUAACGGAGGCGCCCAAAGAUACCCUCAGCUUGGAUGGAAACCAAGCGCAGAGUGCAAAGGCAAAAGGGUGUUUGACUGCGAGACCCACAAGUCGAGCAGGGACGAAAGUCGGGCUUAGUGAUCCGGCGGUGCUGAAUGGAAAGGCCGUUACAUUUACGCCCUAUGUGAAGAUUCUUUCGGAAAUAUCUGGUUGUGUGACAACGGACUUUUCAAAUACGAUAAAACAACCCGCAACUGUACGGCCUGCCUCCCUCCUGCUGACGAACCGAUAACCUAUAUCCAUUUUAUUACCGAAAUACAACCGGGUAUAUUGCUCAUCGGUUCCAAUAGCGGACUGACACAAUAUAAUCUGGCGGAGAACACUUUUUCUACGAUCGGAUACAAUGUUCUUUUUCCGCAAGGAUUAAAUGACGGGAUUGUCUAUUCGAUUCUGAAAGACCGGGAAGGAGGUAUCUGGGUGGGAACGAACGCCGGAGGUAUCAAUUAUCUUACGCCGGGUACCAAUUGGUUCAAUACGUUCUGCUAUACACCGGGCAAAACAAGUGCCCCGGGGAAAGUCAUCAAUUCUUUUUGUGAAAACACCGACGGGACGAUAUGGAUCGGAACAGAUAAUAAAGGGCUUUGGAACUACAACC
rnacentral:rRNA from 1 species